rnacentral:rRNA from 1 species
GAUGAACGCUGGCGGCGUGCCUAAUACAUGCAAGUCGAGCGAACAGACGAGGAGCUUGCUCCUCUGACGUUAGCGGCGGACGGGUGAGUAACACGUGGAUAACCUACCUAUAAGACUGGGAUAACUUCGGGAAACCGGAGCUAAUACCGGAUAAUAUAUUGAACCGCAUGGUUCAAUAGUGAAAGACGGUUUUGCUGUCACUUAUAGAUGGAUCCGCGCCGCAUUAGCUAGUUGGUAAGGUAACGGCUUACCAAGGCAACGAUGCGUAGCCGACCGGAGGGGGUGAUCGGCCACACUGGAACUGAGACACGGUCCAGACUCCUACGGGAGGCAGCAGUAGGGAAUCUUCCGCAAAGGGCGAAAGCCUGACGGAGCAACGCCGCGUGAGUGAUGAAGGUCUUCGGAUCGUAAAACUCUGUUAUUAGGGAAGAACAAAUGUGUAAGUAACUAUGCACGUCUUGACGGUACCUAAUCAGAAAGCCACGGCUAACUACGUG